AAUAGAUACCCCGGUAGUCCACGCCGUAAACGAUGAGUACUAGCUGUCGGAGGUUACCCCCUUCGGUGGCGCAGCUAACGCAUUAAGUACUCCGCCUGGGAAGUACGCUCGCAAGAGUGAAACUCAAAGGAACUGACAGGGGACCCGCACAAGUAGCGGAGCAUGUGGUUUAAUUCGAAGCAACGCGAAGAACCUUACCUAAGCUUGACAUCCUUUUGACCGAUGCCUAAUCGCAUCUUUCCCUUCGGGGACAGAAGUGACGGGUGGUGCAUGGUUGUCGUCAGCUCGUGUCGUGAGAUGUUGGGUUAAGUCCCACAACGAGCGCAACCCUUGCCUUUAGUUGCCAGCAUUAAGUUGGGCACUCUAGGGGGACUGCCAGGGAUAACCUGGAGGAAGGUGGGGAUGACGUCAAAUCAUCAUGCCCCUUAUGCUUAGGGCUACACACGUGCUACAAUGGGUGGUACAGAGGGCAGCCAAGUCGUGAGGCGGAGCUAAUCCCUUAAAGCCAUUCUCAGUUCGGAUUGUAGGCUGAAACUCGCCUAC
rnacentral:rRNA from 1 species